rnacentral:rRNA from 1 species
AUUGAACGCUGGCGGCAUGCCUUACACAUGCAAGUCGAACGGCAGCACGGGAGCAAUCCUGGUGGCGAGUGGCGAACGGGUGAGUAAUGUAUCGGAACGUGCCCAGUCGUGGGGGAUAACGUAGCGAAAGCUACGCUAAUACCGCAUACGAUCUAUGGAUGAAAGCGGGGGACCGUAAGGCCUCGCGUGAUUGGAGCGGCCGAUAUCAGAUUAGGUAGUUGGUGGGGUAAAGGCCUACCAAGCCGACGAUCUGUAGCUGGUCUGAGAGGACGACCAGCCCGACUGGGACUGAGACACGGCCCAGACUCCUACGGGAGGCAGCAGUGGGGAAUUUUGGACAAUGGGCGCAAGCCUGAUCCAGCAAUGCCGCGUGCGGGAUGAAGGCCUUCGGGUUGUAAACUGCUUUUGUACGGAGCGAAAAGGCUCUCUCUAAUACAGGUGGCUCAUGACGGUACCGUAAGAAUAAGCACCGGCUAACUACGUGCCAGCCGCCGCGGUAAUAC